rnacentral:rRNA from 1 species
UUCGAUGCAACGCGAAGAACUUACUGGUCUUGACAUCCGGAGACCCUUAGGAACUAGGGGUGCUUCCAUCUGGAAGAAUCUGGAGACAGGUGCUGCAUGGCUGUCGUCAGCUCGUGUCGUGAGAUGUUGGGUUAAGUCCCGCAACGAGCGCAACCCUUGCCUUUAGUUGCCAGCAGUUCGGCUGGGCACUCUAAAGGGACUGCCGGUGUUAAACCGGAGGAAGGUGGGGAUGACGUCAAGUCCUCAUGGCCUUUAUGACCAGGGCUACACACGUACUACAAUGGCCGAUACAAAGGGCAGCGACACUGCGAGGUGAAGCCAAUCCCGUAAAAUCGGUCUCAGUCCGGAUUGGAGUCUGCAACUCGACUCCAUGAAGUUGGAAUCGCUAGUAAUCGUGGAUCAGCAUGCCACGGUGAAUACGUUCCCGGGCCUU